rnacentral:rRNA from 1 species
AGCGAUGAAGCCCUUCGGGUGUAAAGCUCUUUCGUCAGGGAAGAUUAUGACGGUACCUGGAGAAGCAGCUGCGGCUAACUACGUGC